UAGGGAAUCUUCCACAAUGGGCGAAAGCCUGAUGGAGCAACGCCGCGUGUGUGAUGAAGGGUUUCGGCUCGUAAAACGCUGUUGUAGAGAAGAAUGACAUUGAGAGUAACUGUUCAAUGUGUGACGGUAUCUUACCAGAAAGGAACGGCUAAAUACGUGCCAC
rnacentral:rRNA from 1 species